GACGAACGCUGGCGGCGUGCUUAACACAUGCAAGUCGAACGGAAAGGCCCUGCUUUUGUGGGGUGCUCGAGUGGCGAACGGGUGAGUAACACGUGAGUAACCUGCCCUUGACGUUGGGAUAACUUCAGGAAACUGGGGCUAAUACCGGAUAGGAGCUCCUGCUGCAUGGUGGGGGUUGGAAAGUUUCGGCGGUUGGGGAUGGACUCGCGGCUUAUCAGCUUGUUGGUGGGGUAGUGGCUUACCAAGGCUUUGACGGGUAGCCGGCCUGAGAGGGUGACCGGCCACAUUGGGACUGAGAUACGGCCCAGACUCCUACGGGAGGCAGCAGUGGGGAAUAUUGCACAAUGGGCGGAAGCCUGAUGCAGCAACGCCGCGUGCGGGAUGACGGCCUUCGGGUUGUAAACCGCUUUCGCCUGUGACGAAGCGUGAGUGACGGUAAUGGGUAAAGAAGCACCGGCUAAUUACGUG
rnacentral:rRNA from 1 species